GAAUAAAAGUCUCACAUCUUGAUGAAGAGGAAUGGAAAGCCGAGACCCAAAUCAAAACAGAGGCGUCCCCCAAUUAAAAUUGGUAAGUGAUAUCUAUGUCUUGGUUUCGAUCUUGAUCUCGGUCUUUCACUCCUCUUCUUCAUGAUGUAAGAAUUUGUUAUUC
rfam:Arabidopsis lyrata subsp. lyrata unplaced genomic scaffold ARALYscaffold_1, whole genome shotgun sequence.